AUGGAUGUAUAUAUAAAGGGACCAUGGUAAUAUGUUUUUUAAAACGUUAAAAGAUAAAGCCGAUACAUACUGUGUCCUGUCUGUGUAACUUACCUGAAGGAUGGAUAGAAAACAUAUUAUUUCUGUAUUGGCAUUUUUUUCUCUCUUGUUAAUCGCCCUAGUUAGCUUGAUCUUGACAUGUGGACUUUUUGCUACCGCUGAUCGAGAUAACGUCACCACUAAAAGGAAUAAGACAACAAGUACAAAUCUACAAAACCGAACAAUGCAGUUGCAUGCCAUGAAGGACAAAUACGGCCAAAACUAUCUAAGAUUUGAUUUAAUCAAUUCUGAAUUGGAAAUGUUCACAUAUCAUCACUCACCAGCUAUGGUAUGCCAAGAAAGCGGUUUUUACAACUUUACGCUAUACGUAGUUUAUAAUGAAGAAAACUGCAGAGAAGUAAAUAGCCAUAUAGAUAAUGGGGUCGUUCACAUACAAGUGAUGAAAUCUGAAGACAAUACAAUUGUCAAAGAUCACACAGAAAAGUUUUGGAGCCGUCCGGGCUAUACAUGGAUGGUUCAUGCAACUUUAGAUUUUCACACAAAAUGUCGACAAGGAUUGUUGAUCAAUUCUACAUUCAUUGACUGUAUCUCAUGGAACGAAUCAUACCUAAAUGUCAGUAAGGUCAGUUUAUGAAAAUUACUGUGUAGAUGACCCGGACUAUCAUGUGUUUAUGCUGUCGAUGAACUGAUAAGACUGCAGUGUGGCCCGUAUGAAGUUAUGAUGUUGAUGAACUGUUAAGUCUGCAGUGUGGCCCGUAUGAAGUUAUGAUGUUGAACUGUUAAGACUGUGGUGUGGUCCUGUGAUCUGAUGGUGUUGAUUUGUCGCGUGGUCCUGUGUAACUUGAUGUUUUGGCGGACUGUUAAAACUGUUAUGUGGCCAGUGUGACUUAUUGUUGAUGGACUCUCAAAGCUGCCUUGUAUCUAUACAUGACCAAUCAUAUCAUCCUCUCUAUCGUCGUCGUCGUCGGCGUCAUUGCUUCUUUUGCUCAAUAAUAAAAAGUUAUGAUGACUUCAUUUAAA